CCUACCGUGACACCCUCCAGGAAAGUACCUCUGAUAGAGUUUGAUCAUGGCUCAGGACGAACGCUGGCGGCGUGCUUAACACAUGCAAGUCGAACGGAAAGGCCCUGCUUUUGUGGGGUGCUCGAGUGGCGAACGGGUGAGUAACACGUGAGUAACCUGCCCUUGACUUUGGGAUAACUUCAGGAAACUGGGGCUAAUACCGGAUAGGAGCUCCUGCUGCAUGGUGGGGGUUGGAAAGUUUCGGCGGUUGGGGAUGGACUCGCGGCUUAUCAGCUUGUUGGUGGGGUAGUGGCUUACCAAGGCUUUGACGGGUAGCCGGCCUGAGAGGGUGACCGGCCACAUUGGGACUGAGAUACGGCCCAGACUCCUACGGGAGGCAGCAGUGGGGAAUAUUGCACAAUGGGCGGAAGCCUGAUGCAGCAACGCCGCGUGCGGGAUGACGGCCUUCGGGUUGUAAACCGCUUUCGCCUGUGACGAAGCGUGAGUGACGGUAAUGGGUAAAGAAGCACCGGCUAACUACGUGCCAGCAGCCGCGGUGAUACGUAGGGUGCGAGCGUUGUCCGGAUUUAUUGGGCGUAAAGGGCUCGUAGGUGGUUGAUCGCGUCGGAAGUGUAAUCUUGGGGCUUAACCCUGAGCGUGCUUUCGAUACGGGUUGACUUGAGGAAGGUAGGGGAGAAUGGAAUUCCUGGUGGAGCGGUGGAAUGCGCAGAUAUCAGGAGGAACACCAGUGGCGAAGGCGGUUCUCUGGGCCUUUCCUGACGCUGAGGAGCGAAAGCGUGGGGAGCGAACAGGCUUAGAUACCCUGGUAGUCCACGCUGUAAACGGUGGGUACUAGGUGUGGGGUCCAUUCCACGGGUUCCGUGCCGUAGCUAACGCUUUAAGUACCCCGCCUGGGGAGUACGGCCGCAAGGCUAAAACUCAAAGGAAUUGACGGGGCCCCGCACAAGCGGCGGAGCAUGCGGAUUAAUUCGAUGCAACGCGUAGAACCUUACCUGGGUUUGACAUGGAUCGGGAGUGCUCAGAGAUGGGUGUGCCUCUUUUGGGGUCGGUUCACAGGUGGUGCAUGGCUGUCGUCAGCUCGUGUCGUGAGAUGUUGGGUUAAGUCCCGCAACGAGCGCAACCCUUGUUCACUGUUGCCAGCACGUUAUGGUGGGGACUCAGUGGAGACCGCCGGGGUCAACUCGGAGGAAGGUGGGGAUGACGUCAAGUCAUCAUGCCCCUUAUGUCCAGGGCUUCACGCAUGCUACAAUGGCUGGUACAGAGAGUGGCGAGCCUGUGAGGGUGAGCGAAUCUCGGAAAGCCGGUCUCAGUUCGGAUUGGGGUCUGCAACUCGACCUCAUGAAGUCGGAGUCGCUAGUAAUCGCAGAUCAGCAACGCUGCGGUGAAUACGUUCCCGGGGCUUGUACACACCGCCCGUCAAGUCAUGAAAGUUGGUAACACCCGAAGCCGGUGGCCUAACCGUUGUGGGGGAGCCGUCGAAGGUGGGACUGGUGAUUAGGACUAAGUCGUAACAAGGUAACCGAUCAGAGGUACUUUCCUGGAGGGUGUCACG
rnacentral:rRNA from 1 species